rnacentral:rRNA from 1 species
ACGCUGGCGGCGUGCCUAACACAUGCAUGUUGAACGAAACUGAUAUGAUAGCAAUGUUGUUGAAAGUUUAGUAGCGGAUGGGUGAGUAACGCGUGAGGAACCUGCCUUCAAGAGGGGAAUAACGUUUGGAAACGGACGCUAAUACCGCAUGAAAUAUAUUUAUCGCAUGGUAGAUAUAUCAAAGAUUUUAUCGCUUGAAGAUGGCCUCGCGUCUGAUUAGAUAGUUGGUGAGGUAACGGCCCACCAAGUCGACGAUCAGUAGCCGGACUGAGAGGUUGAACGGCCACAUUGGGACUGAGACACGGCCCAGACUCCUACGGGAGGCAGCAGUGAGGAAUAUUGCACAAUGGGGGCAACCCUGAUGCAGCAACGCCGCGUGAAGGAUGACGGUUUUCGGAUUGUAAACUUCUUUUGUGGAUUAAUAAUAAAGUGAAUAGUCCACGAAUAAGCCACGGCUAACUACGUGCC